rnacentral:tRNA from 1 species
GCUGAGAUAGCUCAACUGGGAGAGUGUUAGACUGAAGAUCUAAAGGACUCUGGUUCAAACCAGGGUUUUGGCA